rnacentral:lncRNA from 1 species
AGUCUGUGUCCUGUAUUAAAUAGAUUCUCCUGUAAAACCUGGCUACAACAGUCACAAUAAAUUGAGCCAAUGGAAGAAAAUCGGAACUAGAGGUGGCUGGUUACUCACCAUGUCAAAAACAGGUGUAUCUUGUACUACCAUGAAGUAAGAAAAGCAAUUUCCAU